AUGAACGCUGGCGGCGUGCCUAAUACAUUCAAGUCGAGCGAACAGACGAGGAGCUUGCUCCUCUGACGUUAGCGGCGGACGGGUGAGUAACACGUGGAUAACCUACCUAUAAGACUGGGAUAACUUCGGGAAACCGGAGCUAAUACCGGAUAAUAUAUUGAACCGCAUGUUUCAAUAGUGAAAUACGGUUUUGCUGUCACUUAUAGAUGGAUCCGCGCCGCAUUAGCUAGUUGGUAAGGUAACGGCUUACCAAGGCAACGAUGCGUAGCCGACCUGAGAGGGUGAUCGGCCACACUGGAACUGAGACACGGUCCAGACUCCUACGGGAGGCAGCAGUAGGGAAUCUUCCGCAAUGGGCGAAAGCCUGACGGAGCAACGCCGCGUGAGUGAUGAAGGUCUUCGGAUCGUAAAACUCUGUUAUUAGGGAAGAACAAAUGUGUAAGUAACUAUGCACGUCUUGACGGUACCUAAUCAGAAAGCCACGGCUAACUACGUG
rnacentral:rRNA from 1 species